GCGACCUAGCGUACUCUCAUCACCCUGUGACAUACCUAAAACGUUGCUUCGGCGGGAACAGACGGCCCUGUAACAACGGGCCGCCCCCGCCAGAGGACCCCUAACUCUGUUUUUAUAAUGUUUUUCUGAGUAAACAAGCAAAUAAAUUAAAACUUUCAACAACGGAUCUCUUGGCUCUGGCAUCGAUGAAGAACGCAGCGAAAUGCGAUAAGUAAUGUGAAUUGGAGAAUUCAGUGAAUCAUCGAAUCUUUGAACGCACAUUGCGCCCGCCAGUAUUCUGGCGGGCAUGCCUGUUCGAGCGUCAUUACAACCCUCAGGCCCCCGGGCCUGGCGUUGGGGAUCGGCGGAAGCCCCCUGUGGGCACACGCCGUCCCUCAAAUACAGUGGCGGUCCCGCCGCAGCUUCCAUUGCGUAGUAGCUAACACCUCGCAACUGGAGAGCGGCGCGGCCAUGCCGUAAAACACCCAACUUCUGAAUGUUGACCUCGAAUCAGGUAGGAAUACCCGCUGAACUUAAGCAUAUCAAUAAGGCGGAGGAAA
rnacentral:rRNA from 1 species